GGAAUGGGAAGGCAGCCUUAAUAACACCAUUGAAGCAUUAUUUACACAUACGGUAUGUACUGACAAAAUAAAAUCAUCUCAUUCUAUCUCCAUCAAGUGUUUAAAUCAUUUCACCAAUUUAUGCAUAGACUUCACACGUUUUUUACUGAGAGGACUGUUACUAACAGUCCAUGAACUUUUCGUGAUAAUACUUUAUUUUCAAAAUUCAUAGUGUCAUAGUUCUUUUAAAUAUUAAUUUAUUUCCCCUUUCGCAUUUGACUUGGUUGUCCUAAUAUUCUUUGCUGUCAAUAUCGUUUUCUCAGAAUGCUGAAGAAAUAGGGGAGGC
rnacentral:misc_RNA from 1 species